GGGGCUGACCGGUUUUGACAGCAAGGAAGUGGUAUUGUAAGCAUGUCGGGCGUUGUGUGUUUGCCCGUAAAUCUCAAUGCGCACGCCACAAUAAAUGGCAACAGUUAUAAUUUCUCGUUGGCUGCUUAGUCAAGACGAUUAGGCCGCUUUCUGCUUCCCGCGAAACCUUUCCGGACGGUGUUGCGGCCGAAGCAUCGAAAAUGUUCGGAUAGAAAAGGUUAUGCUCCGUGUCCUUUUCGAAAUAACAGGAGCUAAGGAUGAAGCAGGCCGGCCUUUCGCCAUCUUUCAUCCCGACAAGAUAAGAGGGGCUAAGCAUGUAGAAAGCAGUAUUGCUGCUUGUUUGGACCAGGGUUCGACUCCCUGCAGCUCCACAA
rnacentral:tmRNA from 1 species